ensembl:lncRNA
GAAGCGUCAGAGAGGGCCCAGCCUCCGUCGGCAGCGCUGUAAGGUCUGCUGCGUGCCUGCUGGAGGGGGACUGGGCCCUGGUGUCCUGCUCUGUGAUGCUGGGACUGGCCGCCCCAGGUGUCUCUGCAGGGCUGCUGGCCACCGUGUGUCCUUCGUCCCUGAAAUCAUGACUGUCAAGGAGAAGUGAUGCCUGAGAAGCCAGUGGGUUCCCAAUGGUCCCCCCAGAGCUAUUCCCUGCCCUGCCCUUUGCUCCAGGAAGCUGACCCCCAUGGAUGACUGCUCCUGGACGCCGCCGCUUUCUGGUUUCCUGCCAGGUCUUCUGGAGGCAGGCACGGAAUCCCAGCCAAGUUACUUAAACUUUCUGAAUCUCAUGGACCUCAUCUAAAAAUCCUCAUGAUGAAGAUCAAAUGAAAGAGAAAUACCACCCCCCUGCCGACGUCUAUGCUGUGAACAUAGUGCCCAUCCAAGGCCCUUGUGCGUGGACCUGAGAUGCCAUUCCAGAGGUGGGAACAGAGACCAAGGCAAGUAUAAGGCGGGGUGAUGGGUCAGAGAGCAACAGAGAGAAACACAGAGGAAGUCAUAUGGAUGCAGAACUCAGUCAUCAUGCCAGCCAUGUAACAGGCAAGACUUUCUACUGACGGGAGAGGUUGCCUUGAGAGAGAGUGUGCCCCCCACUGGUGGGAAAGGUUGGAGGCCACCUGCAAGGCGCACUGAAGUUGGAUUCCUGCCCUGGUGAAGAUUUUUUUGAGUUGACAUCCCACAGUGAGGCAGAUUCUGGGGUCACUUUUGUUCUGAGCAUUGACUGUGUGAUCAGGAAGCUAGCUGCCCAAGGGCGAGUGUAGACACGUGGCAUGGUGACCUUGGUGAGCACUUCAAGACAAGCAGAAGGGUGCUAUUUUCCACACGUGGUUGUUUCAUUGUUUAAUGACAGACUUGUAGCUUGAGUACAUAGUGACACUUAUUGGGUGAAUGUCCAACAUUCAUUUUGUCUCUUUCCGUUUAACUGCACCCAGAUUUUCAUUUGAAAAACUCCCUCGAAUGGGUGGUCAGAGCAGAGGCUGUAAAUGCUCUGCCCCUAUAAUGUGUAGUAUGUACUCUGGGUUCUGGCUUCUUUUGUCCAACAUUUCAUUUCAUCUGACUCCGAUUGUCGGUUCCUGCCUUCCUUACUCUGAG